rnacentral:rRNA from 1 species
UACGUAGGCAGCAAGCGUUGUUCGGAGUUACUGGGCGUAAAGAGUAUGUAGGCGGUUGGGUAAGUUUGGUGUGAAAUCUCCCGGCUUAACUGGGAGGGUGCGCUAAAGACUGCCUGGCUCGAGUGUGGGAGAGGAAAGCGGAAUUCCUGGUGUAGCGGUGAAAUGCGUAGAUAUCAGGAGGAACACCUGCGGUGUAGACGGCUUUCUGGACCAUAACUGACGCUGAGAUACGAAAGCGUGAGUAGCAAACAGG